GGGCUGGCAGUGCAGACCGAACCCGGGGCCGAGGGGCUUCUCCACAGAGCCGCCUGGGGCUCGGUGGGGGGCGCUCAGCUCGACCCCAGCUAAGGGAGCACUAGGAAGUGCGGGCGUCCCCUUCCCUGCACCCUUGCGGGGCGGGAACCGUCGACCUAGAAGAAAAAAAAAGCUGAGGCAAACUUGAUAUAAGUAGAGAGGUUAUUUGGGCCAAGUUUGAAGAUUGCAACCCGGGAGCAUAGCUUCAAGUUGCCCUGAACAUAGGAUUUGCAACAGUGACAAAGGUGAGGCCAGAGAAGUGACAAGACAGAUGCCAGUCCAGCAGGUGGGCAUGUCCAGAAAGUGCAGCCUCAGGACACGGUCUGGGAACAAAGACUGCUGGAGAGUUGGAAGCUGGCAAGAGGCUCUCAGCUGUGAAGUACCUGGGGUGGGGGAGAAGUGGUCGGAGAAAGCAGAGACAUUUGGCUUCACUUGAACCUGUGUUUGAAGCUUUAGUGAACAUUGUCUUUGGG
rnacentral:lncRNA from 10 species